AAAGGACGACGUUCUACUACGGAGAGACGCACGACGAAACGGAGAAGAUCUCGCACAAGCACCCCAGAAUCAAACAGACGCUGCGGCCGUUCGACUAAUCCACAAUCAAAUAAUAGGUGUGGAAAUAAUAUGGUUCGAUUAGGAGAGGGAUAUGCCAUGGUCCCUAAGGAUGUCCUAGCGAAUAUUAAGUGGGAAUCAUAUAAAAACGCAACAAGAAAACUACUAACAGCUGUUUUUCCUCGCGAAGUUCUGGCAACGCACUCUAUGUCAGGGAAACCAUCUCCAGCAUUUCCCAACAAACCAGCAAAGGCGAAGUUGGACCCAAAUGUCAUUAGCGAUAUUAUUAAAACCGUUAUGGCCAAAUGUGGCGUAGCGGAAAAUAUAGUGAGGAUGACCAUAACCACUAAAUGCGCUGACGAGAGUAAGAUGAUGCGAUACCGGAAGAGAUAAAGAGUUGAUGUUGAAAUUUUAAACACAACUCUAAACAACAAUAAUUUCUUAACGAGGAUGACCAUAACAACUAAAUGCGCUGACGAAACUAAGAUGAUGCGAUACCGGCAGAGAUAAAGAGAUGAUGUUGAUGAAGAGUAAAUUUUAUACACAACUCUAAACAACAAUAAUUUCUUAACGAGGAUGACCAUAACAACUAAAUGCGCUGACGAAACUAAGAUGAUGCGAUACCGGCAGAGAUAAAGAGAUGAUGUUGAUGAAGAGUAAAUUUUAUACACAACUCUAAACAACAA